ACUAACAUUUCCUAAGUUUCCUUCCAGCAGUGGAACAGAGACAACUGUCAGCCCAGCCGUGAGCCAGGAUGCCAGCUGUGCGUCUGAAGUGCAGAGAACAACAGAAGUACAUCUGUUUUGAGGGCCAACUGACCUACGGAUCGCUUUUGGAAUGCGUUGCCAAGGAGUUCAACAUCCCAAACAUAUGGCUUCCCUAAGAUACUUGAUCCAAUUGUGAAGGAUAUGAAAAUCCCGGAGAGAGAUGGAGUUAAGAUUCCCCUGUAUGACCCAGUACAUGGAACUAUUGUCCAAGUUACUGGUGACAGCCUUGGUCGUCACUGUCUGUUUGGUUUUGUAGAGAUUUCCUUAUGUGAUUGGUGUUAAACAGUCUUGCAUUCUAAACUCAUUGCAGAACUUAAUACAUGUGAAAGUUUCUCUGUUGAUAUUAUGCAUGAUAUCUUGGAGGGUGCGGCACAAUAUGAAAUGAAACUGAUUAUGUUACAUGAUCAGUAUACAACAUCAAAGGAAGUGGACAGGAGGAUUAAAAGCUUUAACUAUGGCUACAUGGAACAAAACAACAAACCACCUACAGUGAAGUUGGGAGAGGACUCAAAUGACUUGGGGUUAAAUGCCAUCCAGUCCUGGUGUUUACUUCUUACUCAUCUUUGGAGACUUAGUUUGUCCAAAUGAUCAGCACUGGUAUUUGCUACUGCUGUUGCUUCAAAUAGUGACUAUUGUAUUUUCACCAGUGUUAUCAAAAGGUAUCAGUAUUUUCUUGAAACACCUGAUCACCGAACACCACAGGUUAUUUAAACGUUUGUUUCCACACAAGAAGCUGCUACCAAAGCAUCAUUUCAUUGUGCAUUAUCCUACAUGUAUACUCAAAACAGGACCACUUUAGCAUAGCUGGUGCAUGCGCUAUGAAGCGAAACACAACUUCUUU